ANCACUUGCGNACACGGCGUGCUUAUUUUUGCAAGUNACACGAUGAAGCCCUUCGGGGUGGAUUAGUGGCGANCGGGUGAGUAACACGUGGGCAAUCUGCCCUGCACUCUGGGACAAGCCCUGGAAACGGGGUCUAAUACCGGAUAUGAGCCUGGGAGGCAUCUCCCGGGUUGUAAAGCUCCGGCGGUGCAGGAUGAGCCCGCGGCCUAUCAGCUUGUUGGUGAGGUAAUGGCUCACCAAGGCGACGACGGGUAGCCGGCCUGAGAGGGCGACCGGCCACACUGGGACUGAGACACGGCCCAGACUCCUACGGGAGGCAGCAGUGGGGAAUAUUGCACAAUGGGCGAAAGCCUGAUGCAGCGACGCCGCGUGAGGGAUGACGGCCUUCGGGUUGUAAACCUCUUUCAGCAGGGAAGAAGCGAGAGUGACGGUACCUGCAGAAGAAGCGCCGGCUAACUACGUGCCAGCAGCCGCGGUAAUACGUAGGGCGCAAGCGUUGUCCGGAAUUAUUGGGCGUAAAGAGCUCGUAGGCGGCUUGUCACGUCGAUUGUGAAAGCCCGAGGCUUAACCUCGGGUCUGCAGUCGAUACGGGCUAGCUAGAGUGUGGUAGGGGAGAUCGGAAUUCCUGGUGUAGCGGUGAAAUGCGCAGAUAUCAGGAGGAACACCGGUGGCGAAGGCGGAUCUCUGGGCCAUUACUGACGCUGAGGAGCGAAAGCGUGGGGAGCGAACAGGAUUAGAUACCCUGGUAGUCCACGCCGUAAACGGUGGGAACUAGGUGUUGGCGACAUUCCACGUCGUCGGUGCGCAGCUACGCAUNAAUUCCCCCCUGGGGAAUCCGCCCAAGCUNAACUCAAAGAUUGACGGGGCCCCCNACCGCGGAACUUGGUUAUUCACCACCNAAACCUNCAGGUNACUNCCGNAAAUAAANUGCCCCUUGNCGGUNNGGGGCUGGUNCNNCUNNNNNAUGGUANCCCCNCCACUNUUNUNCNUCCUNGGNGGNCANACCGGNANNGAGGGACAAAAUCCUUUNUNCCUAGCCANNNNCGGGANAANUUU
rnacentral:rRNA from 1 species